UGAUGGUUAUUUAGUUUAAUAAAAAUAUGGGUUUUGUAGUCCUAAGAUGAUUUUAAUCAUUAACCUAAUU
rnacentral:tRNA from 1 species